GCUACUCCUCAAACCUAAAACAAUGGGCUAUCAAGUAGUUAAUGUUUAUACAACUGCAUCCUCCGCUGAUAAUCUAUCCCGUCAUGAAAUGCUCAUGUGGGUAAAUGACUGCCUUCAGGCUCAUUUUACGAAAAUUGAGCAACUUCAUACUGGAGCCGGAUAUUGCUUGGUAAGGAGAGGGGCAUUAUACAAUGCGCAGAACCACUGCAACUUUUUCCUCACGAGGGACGAGGAAAAGUGGUUUCUAGGCCAUGGCCGAGGGGCCGACAAGUUUCAGCGGCCAUUUAUCUUGCUUUGUUUUCCGCCUGUUUUCUUUCGUUUUUCAUCGAUUUUUUCGUUUUUUCUUAUUAAAGCUGAUAAAUAAAUAUUUUUUGCAGAUGCUAAAACAAUUUCCAAGUAAAAAAAUCAUGUAUUCAGUGGGCAAGCAGCGGUGAAAGUGGUCAAUGCAAUAUGAUGGAUUACGGGAAUACAAAACCUAAACUUUUUCUGAAACAUGAUACAUAUGCUGCUUAGAUGCUGAAACUACCUGAUUUUCAUAACGAGACCGCUGAAAAAGUUUUGAGGUUUUCAAAAUUCAACUUUUUGUGCGAAAAUCUCGACUUUUUCACCAAAAAAGUUGAAUUUUGAAAACCUCAAAACUUUUUCAGCGGUCUCGUUAUGAAAAUCAGGUCAUUUCAGCAUUUAAGCAUCAUAUGUAUCAUGUUUCAGAAAAAGUUUAGGUUGUGGUAUUCCCGUAAUCCAUCAUAUUACAAUGCCCACUUUCACCGCUGCUUGCCGACUGAAUACAUAAUUUUUUCACUUGGAAAUUGUUUUAGCAUCUGCAAAAAAUAUUUAUUUAUCAGUUUUAAUAAGAAAAAACGGGAAAAAGCUGAGAAAAACGAAAGAAAACAGGCGGAAAACAAAGCAAGAUAAAUGGCCGCUGAAACUUGUCGGCCCCUCGUCCAUGGCCUAGAAACCACUUUUCCUCGUCCUUCGUGAGGAAAAAGUUGCAGUGAGAACGAAAAUCGCGAGAAAAAGUGGAAUAUUGAAAUUUUAGUGAAAAAGUAAAAUUUUAUGAAAAUUUUUUUUAAAAAACUUACAAUUAGAAAAUCUAAAUUUCAACAUUUAUUGAUUUCUGCUAGUUUUUUCCCCGAAUUCAUGGUAGUUGAUUUAUCUCAUUAACAGCACUUAAAGGAGGACUAACGGUUCGGACGAUUUUGAACGUAUAGGCCUAAAAUGAGCUGAUGAACGAAUUUCGUAAUAAAACUGCUCAAAAAAAAUUUCAAAAGUUUUUUAUGGCGGUUCAAAAUUUUGAAAAAAUUACACUGGUUUUGGCUAAAAUCACGAAUUUUUCCCAUUUUUUCGUGUCACAUCUGUUCGAAGUUGGAUUUUUUGGAAUUAUCGUCCUUUAUUACAUGUAGUGGUAGUUUAUCUCAUUUAAUUUCGUCGAUUAAAGUACAUUUAAAGUAGAAAUUGGUUACCUAUCGGCUUUAAAUGUACUUUCGACAAAUAUCGACGAAAUUAAAUGAGAUAAACUACCACUACAUGUAAUAAAGGACGAUAAUUCCAAAAAAUCCAACUUCGAACAGAUGUGACACGGAAAGAUGGGGAAAAAUUCGUGAUUUUAGCCAAACUCAGUUUAAUUUUUUCAAAAUUUUGAACCACCAUAAAAAAUUUUUUGAAAUUGUUUUGAGCAGUUUCAUUACGAAAUUCGUUCAUUUCAGCUCAUUUUAGGCCUAUACGUUCAAAAUCGUCCGAACCGUUAGUCCUCCUGUAAUAAAUAACGUUAACAUAUAAUUUUUCUGUUAUAGUUAAUUUAAUUACUAUUAUUAUUAUUAUAAUAACGCCUAAAUUGUGCAGAAUUCUCCAUUUUUUUCAUUUUCGGGUACCACCACACGAUUCAUUUUGAAGCUGCCAGUUGAAGCUGAAAGGGAUGAAAACAAUACAAUUUUCGUGAUUUUAGAAUGUGUUUGAAAAAAUGAAAAAAAUCUAUGUUACAAAAAAAUUCCAAAAAAAUCGAAAGUUCAACGAAUUUUAAUCGAAUUUCGUGAAAAUUGGACCCAAAAUUGCAAAUUUCUAGGUAAACCUCAAAAUUUUGUCAUUUUUUACUUCAAAAAUCGGAAAUAAAAUGAAUAUUUGUGUUGCAGUUCACCGAUUUCCUAUUCCCUGAUAGUAUUCAAUUGAAGAAAGUGAAAUGGAAUAGUCGUCUUGAAUUGGAUUGGCUUUCCAACUGGAAACUAGUGCAGACUACGUGGAAGAAUUUGGGUGUCGAGAAAGUGAUUCCUGUUGAUAAAUUGAUUAAGGGAAAAUUUCAGGUAUACACAAUACAAACUACAAAGUAUCUAGCUUAACUUUAAAUGUGAUCGGAUGUGAAAUUAAUGAAUUUCAUGAUGAAACUGUUUGAAAAUGAAAAUUUCUAAAAAAAAAAUAUUAUGCCGACUCAAAAAAUGGCCUAAAAUUAGUUAAAAUUUGAAAUUCGACCGACUUGUCAAUCGGCUGGAACCUAAUUUUUUUGAAAUCACCGUGUAAUUUUGGGCAUAAAAGUUUAUUAUCUUGAGUUUUUAACUCGAUUUAGGUACAUUUUGUUUCGGAGCUACUUCCGGCCCUUGUGAGGAUUAUUAGGAUCUUUACACUGUGUAUUUACUCAUAAUUUAUUGCGUUAAUAAAAGCUAUCAUUAAAAGUAGAAUCAAUCAAUUAUCACGUCUCCCGAUAGUCGGAGCGAAGCGAGUGAGUGGAGGAGCGCCAUCCAAUUUAGGCCAAUGCAAAUCCUCGUGGGUUACUGUCACAGUUGUCGUCACGUGUGUCGUCGCGAGACCACCAUUGCUGCUCCUUUAAUCGUACACAUUUGGCGGCAGUUUGAAUUAGGGUUUUCCUUGUUGCUCGAAUAGCUCAUUGACUGGUGUAGUUGUACUUGGCAUUGCUCAGAAGAUUGAAUGGGAAGUUGAUAGCAGUUAUAAUACGUAACAAUUUGAAGUAUUAUUCUUAAUAAAUCUUUGUAUUUAUUACAGUCGUGAACAGUGGAAUUUCUUUAUUCCCUGUCUUCGCGACACAUUUAAGGUGGAAGAGGAAUGUUCCUAACAAGAAAAGGUUUUUAGUUUACCGUCAGACUUCAAAACGAGACAUGUGCCAUUUGAAAGUGUUCUAUAAGGAUAUGUCACUGCAAAAUUUUAAGCGGCAAAGCUCCGCUCUCAAUCUCUCUCUAGCAUUGAUCUGAAAACGUUUCAGUGCAUUUUUUCACUACUUUGGAGGCCUGUAGAAUUGCUCAAAAUUUUUUUUUUGCAAACGAUCAAUGUUUUUCAGAAAGUUUAAAAGUAGGAAAACAAUUUGGUAGAUUUUUGGAAAAUUUUUAAUUUUUUUCGAAAAAAAUCUGAAAAUUCUUGAUAUUUUUCAAAAAAAUUUAAAACUUUCAAAAAAUCUACCAAAUUGUUUUCCUACUUUUAAACUUUCUGAAAAACAUUUAAAGUUUGCAAAAAAAAAUUUUGGAGCAAUUCUACAUGCCUCCAAAGUAGUGAAAAAAUGCACUGAAACGUUUUCAGAUCAAUGCUAGAGAGAUUGAGAGCGGAGCUUUGCCGCUUAAAAAUUUGCAGUGACAUAUCCUUAUAGAACACUUUCAAAUGGCACAUGUCUCGUUUUGAAGUCUGACGGUAAACUAAAAACCUUUUCUUGUUAGGAACAUUCCUCUUCCACCGUUAAUGUACCUAAAUUGAGUUGAAAACUCAAGAUAAUAAACUGGUAUGCCCAAAAUUACACGGUGAUUUCAAAAAAAAAAAGUUUCCAGCCGCUUGGCAAGUCGGUCAAAUUUUAAAUUUUAGCUAAUUUUAGGCCAUUUUUUGAGCCGUCAUAACUUUUUUUUCGUAAAGUUUUCAAAAAGUUUCAUUAUGAAAUUCGGCGUUUUCAGACAAUUUUGAGUCUAAUAAAGCACCUUUAAUCUUCUAUCAAUUUAAAAAAUUCAAUUUUUGCAGGACAACUUUGAAUUCUUGCAAUGGUUCAAGAAAUUGUUCGAUGCUAACUAUGAUGGACAUGAGUAUGAUCCAAUGCAAGCACGUAAUGGAGAAGGUCUUCCGACUGAAGGGGGUCCAGCUGCUGGAGCUUCAGCGAAGACUCCGUCGAGAAUGCCGGCUAGAAGUGUUCCGCA
rnacentral:sRNA from 1 species